rnacentral:rRNA from 1 species
ACGUAGGAGGCAAGCGUUAUUCGGAUUUACUGGGCGUAAAGCGCAUGUAGGCGGCUCGGAAAGUUGGAUGUGAAAGCUCCCAGGCUUAACCGGGAGAGGACGUGCGAGACUGUGGUUCUGGAGGCAGGCAGAGGCAGGUGGAAUUCCGGGUGGAGUGGUGAAAUGCGUAGAGAUCCGGAGGAACCCCAGUGGCGAAGGCGACCUGCUCGGCCUUGCCUGACGCUCAGACGCGAAAGCAUGGGGAGCGAACGG